CGCGAAUGGCUCAUUAAAUCGGUUAUGGUUCAUUAGAUGAGUCCAAUCCUACUUGGAUAACUGUGGCAAUUCUAGAGCUAAUACACGCCUCCAAGCUCUGACCUAUCGGGACGAGCGCUUUUAUUAGACCAAGACCAAUCGGACUUCGGUCCGUUUCCUUUGGUGACUCUGAAUAACCUUUUGAAGAUCGCACGGUCUCGAACCGGCGACGCAUCUUUCAAAUGUCUGCCUUAUCAACUGUCGAUGGUAGGUUAUGCGCCUACCAUGGUUGUAACGGGUAACGGAGAAUCAGGGUUCGACUCCGGAGAGGGAGCCUGAGAAACGGCUGCCACAUCCAAGGAAGGCAGCAGGCACGCAAAUUACCCACUCCCGGCACGGGGAGGUAGUGACGAAAAAUAACGAUGCGGGACUCUUCCGAGGCCCCGUAAUCGGAAUGAGUACACUUUAAAUCCUUUAACGAGGAUCAAUUGGAGGGCAAGUCUGGUGCCAGCAGCUGCGGUAAUUCCAGCUCCAAUAGCGUAUACUAAAGUUGUUGCGGCUAAAAAGCUCGUAGUUGGAUUUCAGUCGUAGGCCGGUGGUCCACCGCCCGGUGGCUACUGCCUGGCCUGGGCACCUUGCCGCUCUCCUGCGAUGCUCUUGAUUGGGUGUCGUGGGUGGCCGGAACGUUUACUUUGAAAAAAUUAGAGUGCUCUAAGCAGGCGCUACAGCCUGAAUAACACAGCAUGGAAUAAUGGAACAGGACCUUGGUUCUGUUUUGUUGGUCUUUGGAAGCCAAGGUAAUGAUUAAUAGGGACGGACGGGGGCAUUCGUAUUGCGACGCUAGAGGUGAAAUUCUUGGACCGUCGCAAGACGAACUACUGCGAAAGCAUUUGCCAAGAACGUUUUCAUUAAUCAAGAACGAAAGUCAGAGGUUCGAAGGCGAUCAGAUACCGCCCUAGUUCUGACCAUAAACGAUGCCAACCAGCGAUCCGCCGGAGUUACUCCCAUGACUCGGCGGGCAGCUUCCGGGAAACCAAAGUGUGUGGGUUCCGGGGGAAGUAUGGUUGCAAAGCUGAAACUUAAAGGAAUUGACGGAAGGGCACCACCAGGAGUGGAGCCUGCGGCUUAAUUUGACUCAACACGGGACACCUCACCCGGCCCGGACACCGGAAGGAUUGACAGACUGAGAGCUCUUUCUUGAU
rnacentral:rRNA from 1 species